UACAGAGGAUGCAAGCGUUAUCCGGAAUGAUUGGGCGUAAAGCGUCUUAAGGUGGCUUUGUGAAGUCUACUGUUAAAGAUCAAGGCUUAACCUUGAGCAGGCAGUAGAAACUCAUAAGCUUGAGUACGGUAGGGGCAGAGGGAAUUCCCGGUGUAGCGGUGAAAUGCGCAGAUAUCAGGAGGAACACCGGUGGCGAAGGCGGUUCUCUGGGCAUUACCUGACGCUGAGGAGCGAAAGUGUGGGGAGCGAACAGG
rnacentral:rRNA from 1 species